rnacentral:lncRNA from 1 species
AAGCAAUGUGACUGUUUCCCAGGCAUAGGAGCUGGGUUCCUUUCCAGGGAGCAUUGCCUCCUGUGCAACAGCCAGCUCUUCUCUGAGGAUACUCCCAUCAGUAUGAAGACAGUUUUAUAACCUGGGAUCCAGAAAUACCAAAAUCCUGUACCUGACCAUCCCCAUGUUCUCUGACAAGGCUCUGGAGGAAAAUGCAUGAGCAAGAAACAAUGAAUGAAGAAAACCAAGGUGAAGCAAAGUUUGGAGAGCCAUGCAGAAAUAUGAUUGAACAAAAAGAGUAUCAUCCAAUUCUAACAGACUGAGUGAGGAAACGCAGCAAGCCCUGUCUAUCUGGAUUUUCCUUGGUCUCUCGAGCAUGCUUUCCUUCCUCCUGAGUAUGGAGUAGCACCCUCUCUGGAAUAGGGGCCUUAUGACCUACAGUCUUCCCUAAGAUUUUUCUCUGCGAGGGAAUCAAACUGCUCUAUGAAGCUCUAUGAAGAGGCUUAUAUGGAAAGAUACAGAGACUUUCUGCCAGCAACCAUGUGGUCAGCCCACACAGAAGUGGAUGUUCCAGGCCAGGUCAAACCUUCAUUCACUGCAGCCCCAGCUGAACUCUCAACUACAACCUCAUGAGAAUUCCUCAGAAGAAUCACCCAGCAAAGCCGCUCCUGAAUUCCUAACUCACAGGAAUUGCGAGUAAUAAAUGUUUGGUAUUUAAUCCACUAAGUUAGAAGUAAUUUCUUAUACAAUAUGAAUAACUAAUACAGAUUUUAAUGGUUUUAAUAAAGGAUUAGAUUAAAAUUAUAUUCAAAGGUUCUAAUGCUAAAAAGGACUCUUUUGUUUCCUAAGAAUACUUUAUUAAUAUUUUUAGCUGUGGUGCACUCUAUAUAAAUGGUCAAUGAAAAGAGAAUUUUCAGGUUGGAGAAUCUUUCAGUGAGUCCUCAAAGCAUAUCAUAAAGUUGGCUGGCUAGUCUUUUCUCACCUAAGACUGUCUUGCUAAUUCCGCUGAAUUCCCAUUCUCUUGCCACCUCCCCUCCUCCACACCAAUUCAACUGUAUUCCAUCAUUUUCAGCCUGCCUUGCUCCAAUUUCUAAUGGAAAUGCAGUUGACUCUUGAACAACAUGGGUUUGAGCCACACGAAUCUGCUUGUAUGCAGAUUUUCUUCCAUCUCUGCCACCGCUGAGGCAGCAAGACCAACCCUUCAUCUUCCUCCUUUUCCUCAGCCUACUCAAAGUAAAGAUGACAAGGAAGACCUUUAUGAUGAUCCAUCUCCACAUAACGAAUAGUAAAUAUAUUUUCUCUUCCUUGUGAUUUUCUUAAUAACAUUUUCUUUUCUCUAACUUUAUUGUAAGAAUACAGCAUACAAUACGUAUAUAAGAUACGUGUUAAUUGGCUGUUUAUGUUAUUAGUAAGGCCUCUGGUCAACAGUAAGCUACUAGUUGUUAAGUUUUGGGGGAGUAAAAGUUAUAUGUGAAAUUUUGACUGCACAGUAAUCAGUUCCUCUAACCCUCAUAUUGUUCAAGGGUUCAUGGUAUUACCAAAUAAUACUACAAAUAUUUUUGGAUAUCUUUAACAACUCAAAAAAUAAAGCAUAUAUUGUGAAUAAAUAUAUUAUCAUCUCUAACACAAAAACAUUAUCAUGAAUGUGAUUUGAUGGAAUCAAAGACAGGUGUGGGGAGAUGGGAGGAAGGAGUGGGAAUGAUUAAGCUCCUUAGAAAUUUCCAUCAGCUUCUAUCAAGCCACUUCAGUAAUCAUACCAUCCUUGUAAAAACAGUAUGUGCUUCUUAUAGAAAUAAAGCUUUAAGACAAAUUCCCUAGUCCCUAUUUGGAAAGGGAUUGAAUCCCCCAAGCCCCUUAAAUGUAGAAAUUCCAUAUACGCUAUUGCUAACCAUGGUCAUACUUGUUAGUUAAUAUUCCUAAAGUCAGCCCAAGUAUGAGACUAUGUAUUAUAAGUUAAUAGGAUGAGCAUCUGAUAGUAAUUAAUAUUUUGACCAGCUUAAUUACUGAGUCAAUAAUUUAAUUGUCUUUGAUCAAUUAAAUUAACUAGUGCAAGAGUCAUCCUCCAAGUUUGGCAGUAAAGGAUAACUUAGAAUAAUUAAUGUCCAACUGUGGCUUAUUUCCAAAGACAAUUAAUGAUUUGUAGCUCCUUACAAAUUUUACUGUUGUUAUGGAUUAAUUGGUAUCUAACUUUGAAUUAGACAGAAUCAAAUAAAAUAUAUUAAUUAUUCAGCCAUGACAUAAUUUACAGAACCUAGUCACCAUCACUGAAUAUUUCUUUAAUUGGUAUAUAGAAACCAGAAUACUGAGCCAGCUCAAUAACUGCUAAGUUUUUAAAAUACGUGUAGUUUCUGUUGGCUUCUUACCAGGAUUUUCUUCCAUGUACCUACAUAAUUUUCAUAGGACUUGAAAGUUUUUGCUUUGAUUUUAAUUACUACCUGCAGUAUCUUCUCAUUAAUCAGUUUUCAAGCAAUUAAUUGUAUCAUAAGUGGAAAGUAUUGACCGAAUUACUUAAAGGCCAUUUCCAGAAUUAGACAUGGCAAUUAAUUUCCUGGUGUCUAUGUUAAUAAGUUGUCAUAGAUUGUUUGACAGACAGUGAUUACAAUCUACAUCAGCCAUGCAAAUACACAAAGCAGGCUUAUCGGCUUGCCUAAUAAUAAAGGAAGGCUGGGUUUUAAAAGGAGAAAGGAGGUAAAAUCUGAGCCAACUACAUUGUUGGGGAGGCAGUACUAUCUCAGUCACAAAGAUGUAGCAUUGCUAGAGAUUGUCAAAGCCUUUUCCAGGUCUUGAAAAAUUCAGUUUAGAAUAUGUUCUUGGCUGCCCUAAAUUCAACCAAGCAUGACCACAUUUCUACCAUGAUUGCAAGAUACAUAUUAUUACAUAUGGAAAAAUGUUUAUGUCUUAGGAAAUUUUUUGACUUUGCUAUGGAAAAGAUAUCUGAAGUCCAUUUUUAUAAAAAAUGUUAAUUUAUUUCUAAAUUGUAUCCACUAACAUAGGCACUCUUGUAUAAUUCAUUAAUUUUUUCAGCCAUUUCUCUUUUUUUGCCAAACCAAGGUAUGUAAUGUUUGUUUAGUUCCUUAAAAGUGGUUUGUAAUUAUGAUUUUAAUGAACAUAUUUUCAUGUAUGAAAUAUUUCAAACAGAUUGUAAAAUACAGAGUGUAGUAUGACAAACACUAAUGAGUAUCUCAGGUAGAUUUAAUAGAUGUAUACAUUUUUGUUUUCACUUCCAAUCUCUUUAUUAAAACAAUUAUUUCUAUGAAUUUUUAAAUACCUUUUCACAAAUAUAAUUAUGUGGCAUAAUAUAUAAUUAUAUAACUAUCUAUAUAGUUGCAACUGUUAGAUUUUUUACAUAUUUGACUUAAGAGGUAUUUCAAAGUUGCCCAUUAUCUCUAUGUAUAUUUUUAAAAAUUUAUUAGGUGACAUAGGCUUAAAUAUAUAUACAUGUGUGCAUGUGUGCAUAUACAUGUAUAUAUAGUAUUAAACAUAUUUAUGUAAAUGUAUAUGUAUACAUGGGAUUAAAUAUAUGUACUUGUGUGUAUACACACAUGCACAUAUAAAAUAUAAUACUGUGUCAUCUAAUAGACUUUUAAAAUGUAACCAGUCUAGUGCGUAUUCCAAUGUUUUAACUUGCAUUUUCAAUAACGUAUUUGUGCAUCAUUUAAAAUAUUUAUUGAACAUUAAUUUUUGCUCAUCCAUUGAUUGACUAAUAUUGCUUCACUCAUUAUUAUAGGAUUUUUUCUUAUUUAUUAUAGGAAUGCAUAAUAUGUUCCGGAUGUUCAUUUUUUGUUUAUUAUACAUAAUAAAAAUUUACUUCCCA